GAAAGAUGCCUUUCCUCAAAAGUAGUUUGCAGCUGUGUAAGUUGCUGCUUUUUUCAGUUUUUAUAAUGGAAAAAAGUGUCAUGUGACUGACGAAACUUCUGGUCUCAAAGGAGGGCGAUUUGCGUCUCAUGUGAAUCUUGCUGUGUUGCAGGUCUAUAAAGCACAGACUGAGGCUGAGGGAGCAACCUGUACCUGGAGGAUUCUAGACACAGGCAAGCCAAGGAUGUCAAAGCUGUAGAGGAAACAGAAGAAACUCUGAGGAACUUGGUAAGAAGAAAAGUCCAAGACAACUUUUUGCCACAUUUUAAACAAAAAGAACUGCAAGUAUGCAAAUGAGUUAGG